rnacentral:lncRNA from 1 species
GAUUAAUUGGAAAAAUAUAGAGCUAUAAUAGACUGUGAAAAUAAAAUUGUAACUUUACGAUCCCUGAAAUAAAAGUUGUUAUCAUUUUCCUAACAAUUUAACAUGAAUAUGAAUGCUGAUCCUGUUGUGUGUUUCAUACCCAUUGUUUGUAAUUUUUCUAACGUCUUUCUCAUUGAAUUCCCUGGUCUACCUCCCCACGUGAGGUAGAGUUCCUAAUUGAAUUAUUUUCCUGAACCCAACUAAUCUCAAAGCCUGCGUAUCGCAUGAGUCGCACUAAACUAACCGAACUAGAACAUCAACUUU